AGGGAAUCUUCCACAAUGGACGCAAGUCUGAUGGAGCAACGCCGCGUGAGUGAAGAAGGCUUUCGGGUCGUAAAACUCUGUUAUUGAAGAAGAACGUGUGUGACAGUAACUGGUCAUGCAGUGACGGUAUUCAAUCAGAAAGUCACGGCUAACUACGUGCCAGCAGCCGCGGUAAUACGUAGGUGGCAAGCGUUGUCCGGAUUUAUUGGGCGUAAAGCGAGUGCAGGCGGUCUUUUAAGUCUGAUGUGAAAGCCUUCGGCUUAACCGAAGAAGGACAUCGGAAACUGGGAGACUUGAGUGCAGAAGAGGAGAGUGGAACUCCAUGUGUAGCGGUGAAAUGCGUAGAUAUAUGGAAGAACACCAGUGGCGAAGGCGGCUCUCUGGUCUGUAACUGACGCUGAGGCUCGAAAGCGUGGGUAGCAAACAGGAUUAGAAUA
rnacentral:rRNA from 1 species